AUAAAUUGUAAGUGCUUUGAAUCUAAGAGCCCUUUCUGUAAAAUAAAGGCAACAGCUAUUUAUCUCCUAGUAAAAGAUUGAGAGUCAAUUAGUGGAUGCAAAGAUCUUUUUUUUCAGAAUACAGUAAACAUUCAAACAACUGUUAUCAGUGUAAUGGUAUUUGUGACUAACAAGUGUUCAUAGUACCAAGUAAACACAUAUGCCACAUGCAUGUUUGGAAAUCAUAUACUACAAAUUUCACAACAUAGCUUUAGAAAUAAAAGGGCACUACCUCUGUGACACCGUAGGAAAAGUAUCUUUGGACCCGUCUAAACUGGAGAAGGAAUAGAAACGGAAACACUGAAACUUUAACAGAUUCAACUGCAGAUGGUAUUGAGAGUCAUGUUCUCAGGUUAAGAUCUUUGUCCUAAGAGUGGGAUCAAACCCGAGGCAGGAAAUGUCCUUUAAGAAGUUUCAAGAUUUAAAUAGCUGGAGCCAAGCCAAGUGCAGUGACUGUGAAUACUUGGUUUCCUUGGAAAGGGAGAGAGCAGUUUCUCUAGAGCAAAGGAGCUGCCCUUCUCAGGCCAUAGAAACGAGGACUCAGCAUUAGAUUUAUGAAGACAAGGCCCCGGGAAGACUCCAUGGCUCUACACUGACGCAUAGUCCAUAGCCUCAUGAUGAGUUCAGGUUUAAAGUCCAAGAAACCAGAAAUUUGAUCCCAAAUAAUGACUCUUAUUUCCUUAUACUUAAUUAUACUCUGGCCCCUUCUCUUGGGCCAGGCUGUGCCUAACACAGCUGCAAGGUCUUUGGGGGACCACACAACAGCCCAAAAUCAUUUAUUUAUUUAUCUAUUUGUUUAUUUAUUUGAUUGAAGAGGGAACAAAUAAAAGACUGUGCUGAAGCUAGCCAACCCAGAUUCCAGACUGCCCUGCUCUUUCAAAGGGCUGCUUUGGGCCUAGCCAUAUAUUUAAAUGUUGGCACAUAUAAAUCACAUGGAGGUUUCCUGAGUAAGUAUAGAUUCUGAUGCAGUAUGAAGCCUGAAAUCAACAUUUCUAACAAUUUUCAUUUUUACAUCCACAUUUACACUCACCCAUCACAUGAGGUUGGGUGAAUUUUCUUAUUGUGGUAGCACAGUAAUACUCAAACAGGUAAAAUGCUGUCUAAAUAUCUUAGUAAAAAUAAGUUUAUAUACUUUUCUCUAUUGCAAAAUUUGGUUACUAGAAAAUUAAAAAUUCUACUUGGUUUACAUUAUAUUCUUAUUGGACUAGAUAUAAUGGGAGAUGUAGAUUUUCAGCCUAAAAUGUCAGACUAUAAUUAAAUCUCCAGAAAUAGUUUUAAUUCCUUUACUCUUUGGCUUGAAAUAAGCUCUCAACCGUGGUUCUCCGCCUUUCUAGUGUUGUGGCCCUUUAAUGCCAUAUCUUAUGUUGUGAUGAUGAUCCCAGCCAUAAAAUUAGUUUGUUGCUACUUUAUAACUGUAAUCUUUCUACUAUUAUGAAUCUCAAUGUAAAUAUCUGAUAUACAGGAUAGAUGAUAUGCAGUCUCCACAGGGGUCAUGACCCACAGGUUGAGAACCACUGUUCUGAAAAGACCCGAUGAGACUACAUAAUGACCUCAAUUAUAAAUAUUUUCACUGCAACAUAGAGUUGCCAUAGAGCUAGAAAAAUCUGAAGUUUGACUUUAUUCC
rnacentral:lncRNA from 1 species